CAAAAACUGUAUAUGGCUUGCAGCUAUCAUAUGGUACAGAUUAUAGAACAUCAUCAAAGAAAGUCCUAUCAGACAGAUUUGGUACAGAGUGAAAAGAGAGAGGUUCAACAUAUAUCAGGACCCUGUUGUUAUUGAUAUCUGGGUGUUUAUUGAAAAAGAAAAGACCAAUGAAACAGGUAGAGAAGGAGUGUCCAUCCAUUGAGUGCCUUUGAAUGGGCUGAGCAUGAGAUGCUCUUCUUGCAUCAUCUCUUAUCCCCAAACUGCCCUGUAAUGUUGGUAAUAUUAUUUUUAUUGAAAGUUGUCAAGAUUAAUGUCUCAAGAUCCCAGACUAGUAAGUAGCAGAGCUGGAACUGUAAUCCAGAUGCAUGUGGAAUCCUAAAUUCAGUAACAUUUCAAUUGGUCCAGGUUGUCUGUCCUGAGAAAACUCAAAGAAAAUGGUGCCAAGGAAGAAGAGAAUUUCAUAAAUGAAGAAUGGCAGAUGGCACUAAGAGUUCAAGUAAGGCUGACACUUCGGCGAGUAUUCACUCCCAUCGGAUGAGGCCUAGCUGUGACACUGGAAAGUAUGAAAACCCCUAUGGCAUUCUGCUGUCCAUUUGGUCAACUGGGAAACACACUUUGGAGAAUUUCAAGAAAAAGUUGUCAGCGAUAUCAAGAGCCAAAUCCAGAAAGGGGUCAUGGUAAUAUCACUUUGUGGAGCUACAUUUUUAAACUCAAUACUCCAGGCUCUCUUUAUUUACUUUUAGGUAAUUGGCUAGUAAUUACACGGUAAGUUGCCUGGAUGCGGGUGUGCACCAGGUAUACCACCUGGAGCUCAAUAAAUGGAUGGAAAAAAUGAAACAAGGAAACUGAGAGCAAAACAGCUACUGCCUCAUGGCAAUCAGGGGAUACUCAGACCCCUCAAGACAACUUUAAAGAUGAUUCUUCAGCUAGCAAAACAUAACUGGCUCCUGAAUAGAUACAUGCAUAAGAGCAACCUGUGUUGUCAGUCAUAACCAUAAAUCAUCUUAUUAUUCUGACACAUAUGUUAAAGUUUGAAAUUUGGAAAUCAACAAGUAAAUUAUUGCAGAAUUCUAUCUCUUGCUUUACAAUUCUGUCUUAAAGGCUGGAGUUAGAAAAUGCUCAUAAAUAGCCUACAUUGUAACUAAUACCUUAAAAGAAGGUGCAUUCUGGAAAAUUAUAAACUCUGCCAAAAGAAUUAGAAACUCAGAUAUUGAAGGCUGACAUUCACUGAAAUUUCCAUGUAAAAAUGUUAUCUCAGUAAAAAGCGAAGCUGUUUCAAACCAAUAUGUUGAGUUGUAAUAAUAGCGGCAGAGUGCUGUGCCUAAUUGCAUGCAAAGAUCCUCUGCCAGAAUAUAUACCUGAUUGCACACAGCAUUUUCCUAGGCGCUAUUUCCUUUUUCCUGAUAUCUUAUUACAAUCUUAAGGGAAAAGGGGGAGUUAAAAAAACUAACACUUAGUGAUUAGAUUAGCUAAUGUAUCCUAGUUCUUGAAAUUUGUUAAAAUAUGUUGUCUCCUUUAAUCUCUCUAGAGAUGUGUCAUGUGACUACUAUUAUUCCCCUUUUAUAUAUUAUAGAGUUGGAGCUUAGUGAGUUUAAAUAACUUGCAUAAGUCCACACAGUUCACCACCAAAGUCCAUGCCUCUGAACUUCUGCCACCUAGUAUACUAGUGUUUUCAAUGCGGAGACACUGACGUCAAGGUGGUAGACUAAAUGAACACUUGCUACCCUCAUGGAACUUACAUUCUUUUGGAGAAGACAGACAAUAAAUGAGUGAACAAAUAAAUAAAAUGGCUUAAACAGUGAUGUGUGCCCUGAAGAAAAUGAAACAGAGUAAUAUUUAAAGGAACACUGCAGUGGGGGAAAUAUUAAACAGUAAAAUCAAGAAGUGAUAGCAAAAAUGUUGACCUUCAAUCUGAGAACUAAAUAGGAGUGAGGCAUUCAAAGAACAGAGGGAAAAAAUUUUAGCUGAGGAACUAACCAGGCUACAGGCCAUGACAUGGAAAAUAAUUUCAUUUGUUUUAAAACACAAAGAUAAGUGCAAAAAUUCUAUUUUAAAAAACUCAGUAAGUUGAAUUCAGCAGGACAUUUAAAAUAAAUCAACAUUAAUUCUAGCAAAGAUGCUCCAACAUUAUCCAAUCUAUGAAGGCAAUUCAAUGAAUUAAAUGAAGAAAACCAGGUAAUUAUACCAAGAAAGCUGAAAAAAAAAAGAAUUCAAACAAAUAUAAAACCCAUUUAUAGGAGAGAGGAAAAUAAAAGCCUUUUAAGAACUAGAAAUAUAAGAAAAAUUCCUUGGUUUAAUAUAGGGUGACUAUAGCAAACAUCUUUAGAAACCAUCAUACUUAUGGAGGAAAUAUUAGACUCGGUUUUAUUUAAAACAGCAAUAUUAACUCUCAUGAUAUUAUUCAACAUCAUCCCAAUGGCCCUCACCAACAAAAUAGGGCAACAGAAAUUAGGUUUAAUUCAUGGAAAGAAAAAGGGAGAACUGGCAGAUGAUAUGAUCAUCUACCUUGAAAAUCUAAGACAACUAACUUAUAUUCUAUUACAGCUUUAAAAAGUUCAUCAAAUAGCCAGCAUCCACAAUCAAUAUACAAAAAAAAUAGCUUUUCCAUGUGCCAGUGAUAAUCAUUAGAAUAUAUAUUUUUAAUACACCUGUUGGCCAUUUGCAUGUCUUCUUUUGAAAGAUGUCUAUUCAGGUCCUUUGCCGAUUUUUAAAUUGGGUUAUUUGUUUUCUAUUGAGUUGAGUUCUUUAUAUAUUUUGGAUAUUAACCCCUUAUUGGAUUUAUGGUUUGCAAAUAUAGUAUAUUUACUCAUGCUGUAGGUUGUCUCUUCACUCUCUUGAUUGAGAAAAUGUGGCAUAUACACACACAGUAGAAUACUAUUCAGCCUUAAAAAAGAGGAAAAUCCUGUCAUUAGUGACAACAUGGGUGAAACUAGGGGACAUUAUGUUAAAUAAGCACAGGUACAGAAAGACAAAUACCACAUGAUCUCAUAUGUGGGGUGUAAAAAAGUAAAACUCAUAGAAAAUAGAGAGUCAAAUGGUGGUUUCCAAAGACUGGGGGCUGGGAGUUUGGGGUGAUGUUGGACAAAGGACAAAACAUUUCAGUUAGGCAGGAGGAAUAAGUUUAAGAGAUCUCUCAAAAAAAGAAAUCUGUUGUUCGUGAUGAUGACUACAAUUAAUAACAAUAUUAAUGACUACAAUUAAUAACAAUAUGUAUAAUUGAAAAUUACUAAGAGUAGAUUCUAAGUGUUCUCACCACACACACACACAAAUAAUAAGUAUGUAAAAUCAUGUAUAUAUUAGUUUGAUUUAGCCAUUCCACAAUGUAUACAUAUAACCAAACAUCAAGUUGUACACUAUAAAUAUAUACAAUUUUUACUUGUCAAUUUAAAAUUUGAAAGUAAAAUAAAUUUUUUAAAAAAUGCAUUAAAAAAAAAAAAGAAUUCCAAUUCACAAUGGCUACAGCAACCAAAAAGUAACCAAGUAUACAUUUAAUGAUAAAUAUACAGGACCUUUAUAGAGGAAACUAUAAAACUAUACUGAAGAAAGUUUAAAAAAAGUUUGAAUAGACGGAGAAAUAAUUACAAAUGUAGUGACUCAG
ensembl:lncRNA